rnacentral:rRNA from 1 species
UACGGAGGGUGCAAGCGUUAUCCGGAUUCACUGGGCUUAAAGGGUGCGUAGGUGGGUUGAUAAGUCAGUGGUGAAAUCCCCGAGCUUAACUUGGGAACUGCCAUUGAUACUAUUGAUCUUGAAUACCGUGGAGGUCAGCGGAAUAUGUCAUGUAGCGGUGAAAUGCUUAGAUAUGACAUAGAACACCAAUUGCGAAGGCAGCUGGCUACGCGAAUAUUGACACUGAUGCACGAAAGCGUGGGGAUCAAACAGG